UGGGGAAUAUUGGACAAUGGGGGGCAACCCUGAUCCAGCCAUGCCGCGUGAGUGAUGAAGGCCUUCGGGUUGUAAAGCUCUUUUGGCGGGGACGAUGAUGACGGUACCCGCAGAAUAAGCCCCGGCUAACUUCGUGCCAGCAGCCGCGGUAAGACGAAGGGGGCUAGCGUUGUUCGGAAUUACUGGGCGUAAAGCGAGUGUAGGCGGUUGCCGUAGUCAGGUGUGAAAGCCUUGAGCUCAACUCAAGAAAUGCACUUGAUACUGGGUGACUAGAGGACCGGAGAGGAUAGUGGAAUUCCCAGUGUAGUGGUGAAAUACGUGGAGAUUGGGAAGAACACCAGUGGCGAAGGCGGCUAUCUGGACGGUUACUGACGCUAAGACUCGAAAGCGUGGGGAGCAAACAGGAUUAGAUACCCUGGUAGUCCACGCCGUAAACGAUGGGUGCUAGACGUUGGCGAGCUUGCUCGUCAGUGUCGCAGCUAACGCGUUAAGCACCCCGCCUGGGGAGUACGGCCGCAAGGUUGAAACUCAAAUGAAUUGACGGGGGUCAUAGCUGUUUCCU
rnacentral:rRNA from 1 species